AUGCCGCUCCGGUUGGAUAUCAAGAGGAAGCUCGCGCAGAGGUCGGAGAGGGUCAAGUCCGCGGAUCUGCAUCCGACAGAGCCAUGGAUUUUGUCGAGUCUUUACUCGGGGAGUGUCUGCAUCUGGAACUACCAAACGCAGACAAUGGUGAAAUCAUUUGAAGUCACAGAGUUACCAGUUCGUUCGGCUAAAUUUAUUGCACGGAAGCAAUGGGUUGUUGCUGGUGCCGAUGAUAUGUUUAUCCGCGUGUACAAUUACAAUACAAUGGAUAAGGUCAAGGUAUUUGAAGCUCAUACUGAUUACAUCAGGUGUGUGGCUGUUCAUCCAACCCAGCCUUUUGUGCUGUCAUCAUCCGAUGACAUGUUAAUUAAGCUUUGGGAUUGGGAUAAGGGUUGGGCAUGCACUCACAUAUUUGAGGGGCAUUCUCACUAUGUGAUGCAAGUCACAUUUAACCCAAAGGAUACCAAUACUUUUGCUAGUGCUUCCCUUGAUCGCACGAUAAAGAUAUGGAGUAUUGGUUCUCCUGAUCCUAACUUCACAUUAGAUGGCCACUCAAAAGGCGUGAACUGUGUUGAUUACUUCACCGGUGGUGAUCGGCCAUUUUUAAUUACUGGAUCUGAUGAUCAGACUGCAAAGGUUUGGGAUUACCAAACCAAGAGCUGUGUUCAAACACUCGAAGGACAUGCACACAAUGUGUCCGCUGUCUGUUUCCAUCCAGAACUACCUAUUAUAAUUACUGGCUCAGAGGAUGGCACAGUUCGAUUGUGGCACUCUACAACCUACAGGCUUGAGAACACUCUUAAUUAUGGUCUUGAGCGAGUUUGGGCUUUAGGAUACAUGAAGGGGUCAAGAAGGAUUGUGAUUGGAUAUGAUGAAGGGACAAUUAUGAUAAAAAUUGGCCGUGAAGUUCCGGUUGCUAGCAUGGACAACAGUGGAAAAAUCAUAUGGGCAAAACAUAACGAAAUCCAAACUGUUAAUAUCAAGACUGUUGGUGCAGGCAAUGAGAUUGCGGAUGGUGAGCGAUUACCGUUGGCUGUGAAGGAGCUGGGCAGCUGUGAUCUUUAUCCACAAAACUUAAGGCACAAUCCCAACGGGAGAUUUGUUGUUGUAUGUGGAGAUGGAGAAUACAUAAUUUAUACAGCACUAGCAUGGAGAAAUAGAUCUUUUGGUUCUGCACUUGAAUUCGCUUGGUCAUCUGAUGGCGAAUAUGCUGUAAGGGAAAGCACCUCGAGGAUAAAGAUAUACAGUAAAAAUUUCCAGGAGAGGAAAAGUAUAAGACCAACAUUCUCCGUCGAACGUGUGUUUGGUGGAGUAUUAUUGGCUAUGUGUACAAAUGAUUUCAUCUGCUUUUACGACUGGGCGGAUUGCAGGUUGAUACGUCGAAUUGAUGUCAAUGUGAAGAAUCUCUACUGGGCUGACAGUGGUGAUUUGGUGACAGUUGCAAGUGAUACAUCAUUCUACAUUUUGAAGUACAAUAGGGAUGUUGUAUCUUCUCAUUUGGACGGAGGGGGUUCAGUUGGUGAGGAAGGUGUUGAAGACGCCUUUGAACUGCUUCAUGAGAUCAAUGAACGCAUCCGAACUGGGCUAUGGGUUGGCGAUUGUUUUAUCUACAAUAAUUCUUCAUCACGGCUUAAUUACUGUGUAGGAGGAGAGGUCACAACCUUAUUUCACUUGGACCGGCCAAUGUAUUUACUAGGAUAUCUUGCUAACCAGAGCCGUGUCUAUCUUAUUGACAAGCAAUUUAAUGUUGUUGGGUACACUCUACUCCUUAGUUUGAUCGAGUAUAAAACACUAGUGCUGCGUGGGGAUUUUGAUCGUGCAAAUGAUAUUUUGCCAUCUAUACCGAAGGAACAAUAUGACAGCGUGGCACAUUUCUUGGAAUCGCGGGGCAUGUUAGAGGAAGCCCUUGACAUAGCAACGGACUCUAAUUACAGAUUUGACCUGGCUGUGCAGCUUGGUCGCGUUGAUGAUGCAAAGGCAAUUGCUCUUGAGGUGCAAAGUGAGUCCAAGUGGAAGCAGUUAGGGGAGUUAGCUAUCUCAACUGGAAAGCUCGAGAUGGCAGAGGAGUGCCUUCUACAUGCACUAGAUCUCAGCGGUCUAUUGCUUUUGUAUUCAUCCAUUGGGGAUGCUGAAGGGAUAACAAAAUUGGCAUCAAUGGCUAAAGAACAAGGAAAGAACAAUGUUGCGUUCCUUUGUUUGUUCAUGCUAGGCAAGUUGGAGGAAUGCCUUCAAUUGUUGAUUGAAAGCAAUCGCAUUCCAGAAGCAGCAUUGAUGGCGAGAUCUUAUCUUCCGAGCAAAGUCCCUGAGAUUGUAGCAUUAUGGAAAAAAGAUCUCCAAAAGGUAAACUCAAAAGCAGCAGAGUCAUUGGCAGAUCCUGAUGAGUACCCAAACUUAUUUGAAGACUGGCAGAUUGCUCUCAAUGUAGAAGCUACUGUCGCCCCCAAAAGGGGUAUCUAUCCACCUGCUGAGGAAUACAUGAUUCAUUCUGAAAGGCCCAAUGAGAGUCUUGUGGAAGCUUUCAAGAACAUGCAUGUACAAGAAGAGGAGGACGUACAUGAAGAGGAUGUACACGAUGAGGAGGAGCUAACAAAUGAAAAUGACACUGUUCAAGAGGUUUUUGAAGAUGACGAAGCAGAAGAGAGCCAAGAAGAUGCUGUUGAGGUCGAGGCUGAUGGUUCUACUGAUGGCACUAUCCAUGUGAAUGGAAAUGAUAGCGAGGAACAGUGGGUGCUGACUCCUGACCAAUAG
rnacentral:rRNA from 1 species